rnacentral:lncRNA from 1 species
AAAACAACUGACGAGAGAUCGAUGAUGAUGAAGAUGCCUUGGAGGAGGAAGAGUAGGAGCUUCCAUCUUCAGCUACAAGGGGCAAUUGGUACCAUUCAAUCUCCAUUCCUAUUCUUAUUUACCAAUUAUUGUCAUUCUUCUACUUCCACACUUGAAGAUGCACGCUUCUUGACAAAUAACUUCAAAUCUGCUUCUUUUACCCGCCUUGAUGAUGCCAUUGCUUCCUUUAAUCAUGUAAUUCAUAUGCAUCCUCUUCCUUCUAGGGCUCAAUUUAGUAGAUUCUUCUCUGCCCUUGUGAAAAUGAAACAAUAUCACACUGUAUUUUCCAUGUCCAAAACAAUUGAAUUGGUAGGAAUCUCCCACGAUGUUUAUUCUCUUAGCAUCUUAAUUAAUUGCUUCUGCCACUUACACCUUGUGGAUUUUGGCUUCUCUGUUUUCGGAAAGAUGUUCAAAUUCGGAUUGGAGCCUACCACUGUGACAUUUACUACCUUAAUCAAUGGGCUUUGUAUAGAGAGUUAAAUGGACAAAGCAGUGGAAUUUUUCGAUGAUAUGGUUGCACGUGGUUAUCAACCUGAUGUUCGUACUUUCACUGUGAUAGNNNNNNNNNNNNNNNNNNNNNNNNNNNNNNNNNNNNNNNNNNNNNNNNNNNNNNNNNNNNNNNNNNNNNNNNNNNNNNNNNNNNNNNNNNNNNNNNNNNNNNNNNNNNNNNNNNNNNNNNNNNNNNNNNNNNNNNNNNNNNNNNNNNNNNNNNNNNNNNNNNNNNNNNNNNNNNNNNNNNNNNNNNNNNNNNNNNNNNNNNNNNNNNNNNNNNNNNNNNNNNNNNNNNNNNNNNNNNNNNNNNNNNNNNNNNNNNNNNNNNNNNNNNNNNNNNNNNNNNNNNNNNNNNNNNNNNNNNNNNNNNNNNNNNNNNNNNNNNNNNNNNNNNNNNNNNNNNNNNNNNNNNNNNNNNNNNNNNNNNNNNNNNNNNNNNNNNNNNNNNNNNNNNNNNNNNNNNNNNNNNNNNNNNNNNNNNNNNNNNNNNNNNNNNNNNNNNNNNNNNNNNNNNNNNNNNNNNNNNNNNNNNNNNNNNNNNNNNNNNNNNNNNNNNNNNNNNNNNNNNNNNNNNNNNNNNNNNNNNNNNNNNNNNNNNNNNNNNNNNNNNNNNNNNNNNNNNNNNNNNNNNNNNNNNNNNNNNNNNNNNNNNNNNNNNNNNNNNNNNNNNNNNNNNNNNNNNNNNNNNNNNNNNNNNNNNNNNNNNNNNNNNNNNNNNNNNNNNNNNNNNNNNNNNNNNNNNNNNNNNNNNNNNNNNNNNNNNNNNNNNNNNNNNNNNNNNNNNNNNNNNNNNNNNNNNNNNNNNNNNNNNNNNNNNNNNNNNNNNNNNNNNNNNNNNNNNNNNNNNNNNNNNNNNNNNNNNNNNNNNNNNNNNNNNNNNNNNNNNNNNNNNNNNNNNNNNNNNNNNNNNNNNNNNNNNNNNNNNNNNNNNNNNNNNNNNNNNNNNNNNNNNNNNNNNNNNNNNNNNNNNNNNNNNNNNNNNNNNNNNNNNNNNNNNNNNNNNNNNNNNNNNNNNNNNNNCACUCACCCUAUUGAAAGAAAUGGAGGAAAGUCAGUUGAAGCCUGAUCUUGUGACCUAUUGCAUUCUGAUCAAUGGUAUGUGCAAAGCUGGCAAGAUUAAUGAUGCCAAGGAACUGUUUUCUAGUCUUUUUGAAAAUGGUUUACAACCUAAUGUUCAUAUAUAUAGUGCAAUUAUGAAAGGACUCUGCUGAUGAUGGACUAAUAGACGAAGCAUAUAAGAUUUUUAGAGACAUGGAAAAGGGAGGAUGUUUACCGAAUAAUUAUUCUUAUAAUAUCAUCAUUCAAGGGUUUCUCAGGCAUGAGGAUUUAUCAAAAGCAUCACAACUAAUCAAUGAAAUGGUUGAUAAGGGGUUCUCUGCUGAUGAUGCUACCACAGAAUUGGUAGUACAUUUAUCGCAGAAUAAUAAUUUCAUUCUAAGGCUUUUAAAGGUGCGCAAUGAGGGAUCAACAAACUAAAGUUGUUAUAUCUUGACCAUUCAAGUGUAUCUUAGAGCGGAACUUGGUAAUUACCUUUUCCAAAUAUAAUAGAUAUGUAAUUUAACUAACUUGAAUCAACUGUGAUUCUCUUCCACAAAAUGAAAAUUUCUAAUACUGCAAAUUACCUGUGGUGGAAGCCAUGGUAUGUGUGUGCCCUUCGCUUGAAUUCAGACAUGGACUAGAUCUCUUUGAUAUAAGAUUGUUGAUGAAUGGAGGUCAUGGAUUUCUAAUCAUUAAGUUGCUGGUAAACCCACCAUCUCCGUUAUAAUUUUUUUUUGCUGCUACUACAGUCUUUACUUGAGAGCUCAGUCCUAAAAUUGAGUUGAGAACUAAAACUAAUUGGUUCUAUACUACAAUGCCUAAGAAUCUUUAUCUAUUUUUAUUUUUGUGCCAAAUGACCUUUCAAAAUGCUAUCAUUUCUCUUGUAGGUACUUGCAAGGAUAUGACUACAACUUCACCUUUCUAACCAUAAAGGUAUAAGUAACUCAUUUUUGCUUAGUUAUUAUAAUUUUUAAUAAUAAUGAAACUAAUGAUUAUAAACCAGUGUGCUUUAAUUGAGAAUUGUUUUAACAAUUAUACUACACUAUAAAUGCAGGGCGCAGGAUAUACAGUCCCAGAAUACAAGGUAAGAGAAUUAGUAGACUUCUACCGCUUUUGGUUGGAUGAAAUGUCACUAAAAUUAUAGACAACGGAAAAUGUCAUGGGAAUUGAGGGGAAAAACAAACAUCCUCUUUGUCAAUAUGGUAUAUAACAGAUAUAUUUUAGUGUUGGACCACCAUUUGAGUUCAUAAAUUGGCUCGUGAAUAGACUCGUGAACAUUCUGGUUAAACAAACUGAAAUUAAUAUCAUAAAGAAAUAAAUUCAACCCCUACAUAUACUUUUGUGAGCCUAAUCCAAAUUUAUUAAAGUUUAGCUCUAUAUAUUUUAAUUACUCUUAAAACUUAUAUAUAUUUGGAUAGUUAAGAACUCAUCUUUUAAAUUUGUGAGUUAAUUUGUAUAUAUAUUUUUUUGGUUAAAAUUAUUUAUUUUUAAAUUUAUUAGUUUUAAAUUAAAACUCAUUAUAUAUGUAAAUAAAUCGAAUAUAGACUAAAUUCGAUAAAAACUCGACUAGUCUAAAUUUAUUUGCUAAACUAACUUAGUUUGAGUUUAUUAAUACUCGAGUUCGAAAUGAGUAAAACUUGAAUUCAUCUUGAGUUCGAAAAAAUUUUAAUGAACUAAACUUGAACUCUUCAAAAUUCGGUUAUAUUCGGCUCAUCUACACUCCAAAGUAAAUUUUAAAAAGUGAUUAAAUUACUAAUGAAUUCUAAAUUCAUUGGUAAUUGGCCCAAAAAAUUACUAACUAAUUUGAAAAUUCAUUACUAAACUUUAUCAUCAAAUUAAUAAGUAAAAAAAGUGUUAAAUUUAUCAAUUGAAGCUUUACGCUGGAAAAUCCGUUGGAUAAAAUUAAAAUAAAAUUUCAUAAAAUUUCCACGUUUUUUUACUACUCAUAUUUUUUCCGUUAUUAAUGGAUUUAAUAACAUAUUUUAAAUUCAUUAAUUUUUAAAAAGAGAAAAGACUUUUUUUUUUCUAAAUUUAAUAAUAAAUUAUAAAUUCAUUAGUAAUUCGCGGUUAUAAAUAUUAGACCGGUUCUUCUGGUUUUAUCAUUUAUUUAUCUUAUUAUUUUCUUCUCUUCCAUUUUCCUUCCUCCUCUCAUUAUCAUUUUCCUCCCUUCCUUUCUCUCAUUUUCUUUUUUUUCUAUUACUUUAUUCAGUAUUUCACUCUUUUAUUGCAUAAUUUUUUUUUAUUUUUUCUAUUAUUUUCCUUUCAUCUCUUAUCCUAUUUUCUCUCAUUCUCUUUCCUCUUUUAUUAUUUACUUCCUUCUUCAUAAUUUCCUUUCAUUUUCUCCAUUUUUUCUAUUUGGUUCUUUUAUUUUCUCCCAUUUUCUUUAUUUUCUCUAUAAUUUUCAUUCAUAUUAAUUUUUCUAAUAUUAUUUUUUUCUAUCAUUUUUUUCUAUUUAUAUAUUUUUUAUUAUUUUCUCUUUAUUUAUUUUUUUCUCUAAUUAUUUGUUCACUUUUUUUCAUUUAUCUAAUAAUAUUUUUACUCUACUCUCAUUCUUCAUUCUUUUUUUAUAAUUUUUAUUUUCUACCAUUUUCUUUAUUUUUCUCUUUUUUUCUCCUUUUUUUAUUAUUUUCUCCCAUUUUAUACCAUUUACUUCUCUUAUUUUCACUUUCUAUGUAUUUCUAAUAAAUAUUGGAUACAAAUUUAAAAUUUAGUAAUAAUAAUAAUAUAAUUUUUAAUCUUAUUAAAUUAAUAAACAAUUAUUUAAACUCUCAGUAGAUUUAUUAAAAAAUUGUAAUUUGUUAGUAAUUUAUUAAUGAAUUUCAUGUCUAUUAGUAAAUUAUUUUUCUUUUAAUGUAUUAAUACAUUUAAAAUCUGUUAAUAAUAAUAAUGAAAAUUUUAUUAGUAAAUUCAUUAUUAUUAUUAAUAUACUUGAAAACUGGUGUUAAAAAUUUACUAUCGAGAUUUUUAAUAAUAGAUCUAAUCCAUUAGUAAUAUGUUGGUAAUUCAUUUAUCAGUGAAUUUUUUAUUGAUUACCAUUGAAAAAUUCAUUAAUAAUCUAUAAAUUUUUUUAGUAUUUUUAAAAAUAAAAAUAAAAAUACUAUUUUUAAAUUUAGAUUUUAAGAACUUUUAGUUGAAUAAAUGAAAAUUUAAAACUUUUUGCGACUAUAAUAUUAUCCAUAUUAAUGAACUAGCUAAAUUUUUUUUAGUUUAAUUUAUUCACUAAAAAUAUAGAUAAUAUGUUUAUCACAAUAUAUCAAAAAAUUAAAAAUACAUAUAUGAUUAUUAUUUUAAUAUACGCCGCAGAACCUCCUCUCCGCCUCUUGCAACGCUUCGGACUACCAGGGGAACCUCAGUGACACCGUCGACCAUUUCAGAGCUGCUAUGGAGCCAAUCGAUUCAACAAGCGAGAAAUUCAUGGCCAAGGCGCCCAUUCUUGACUCGAAGACACAAAAUCACAGCUGCUCCUCACCUAAGAUUUGCAUUGGUUGCAACCUCCAGGUAUAAAUUUUGGUUUAUUGGGGUUUGAUCCGAUGAAAUUUCUAUUUCUCUAGGUUGUUUAGAUGUAUAUAAUCUUGUAUUAAGUACUUCCAUUGAUUGAUUCAGUUGAGAUGCUUGUGUUUGGAUGUUACAUAGUUUGAAGCAAUUCGUAUGACCUCCUCAAUUUUACCUGUGAGAGCUGCUAGGAGUUUUAUUUCCUUGAAAAUUGAUUAGUUCCUCAAGACCUCUAAAGAUUGUAUAUAAAUGGAAAGUUGGCAACACUCUCAAGAAGCUCCAGGAUUGCAAGCUUUAUUAUCCUUCUUUCUAGGUUCAUCCCUUCAGAAUCUCACAGAAAUUACUUAGCAUUUUGUCUUUUCAAAUUAGUUGUUUAUUUUUACUUUACUAAAAAUUAUUUUUUCUGCAAUUUGCAUGAUCUAAUUCUAUGAUCUAAUUCUAUGGAGCAGGUGUUACUUUCUCAUUUAUUAGAAUUUACUUUUAUACCAUUACUAUCCCUCAGUAACGGAGCUUAAACUCAUUUUCAAACACUCAUUUUUUUAAUUAUUUUUGAAAUUUGAAAUUUGAUGUUUAUUUUCUUUAUAUGCCCAAUUAUAAAUAUAAAUAAUUGUAUAUUUUGUUGUCCUAUAUUAUGUAAGAUUUCUGAAACAUAUUAAGAUUAAGGUUUUGCCAAAUUUUGAUCAGUUUUUUUUAAUUAGUUAAAAUUUAUUGUGAAAUAUUAUUUUUUUCAGUGAAAUUUUUAAUGGUUUUUUAAUUUAAUAGAAAUUUUAACUUUAAUUUCAAUUUUAAAAAAUUAAAAGAAAGCUAGAUACAAAACAUGGUAUGUAGUGUUUAUGCAGUUCAACCACUCAUCCAUCAUUCUUCUCUAUCAACUUCCCAGAAACCAUAACCCAUCCCCGCUCUACACUUUCGACCCAAAAACAAGAUUCCAUUCACCAUUGUCGCAGCCACCUCCUUCAACCCAUCUCCAACACCGUCAGCUCCCAUAGCAGAAAUCAUAAAUAAGAGAUUAUAAAAAAAGAUUUGGUCAAAAUACAAUUCUAAUUCAUAAUAAAAAUUACAUGUACACAACUAAAUUAUUACAUCAGAACUGUAACAGCCCGCAAACCGGACCAUUACCGGCGCUAGAAUUCAGGUCAACCUGAGGCCGUCUGAACCCGUAGCAAGCCUACUAUGAACUCUGUGUACCUGAUAAAUCCCAUACAUGAUCACACAUUUCCAUAAAAAUUUUGAUUUUUCAUUAAAUUAGCUUGACCUGUACAUGAAUCAUAACUAUAAACAUAAAUAGCCUACUAGAGUCCUCAUCAAAUACUCCAGAGGGUCAUAAAACUGUCAAGCUUAAAGGUUAUCAUAAAGAUAAACAUCAUAAGUCAUAAAAUACUGAUCAUGUACAAAGGGAAAUCAACAUAGUCUUAGGGCUAUGCACAAUUUCUAACUGUUUUCAUUACAUCACUUUUAACAUAAACAUAACUAUUACAUUCCUUCUCAAAGUAUUGUACAUGUCCACUUUCUAUACAUAUUCCUAACUUUACCCUGGCUGAUGCUCUGACUUCCUCUGAGGCCCUAAAACACGGGGUUAGGGAGAGGGGUGAGCUACUAGAACCCAGUGAGUAGAAUCACAUAAAACAUUAAAUACAUAUUCUCAAUGAAAUGCAUCACAACUCAAACAAUUCACAUAACGGAUGGACAUGACCUCAAAACUCCCUAAGCUAUUUGCCCGACCACCAUAAAGGGCACCACAGGACUUCGUAAUGCCUGGCCCAGCCAGGUCUUUCCAUAGGGCUAUUGGGUCGCUUGGGUCCAUCCACAUCAUCAUGAUAUCAUAGAUCAACAUUAUGCAAUGCAACAGCUUCGUGGUUACUAGUGCAGUACAUCCUACUAUAAACAUGGUAUUCAUGAUGCAUGAAACAUGCUAAAACAUUUAUUUACUUAAAACAUAGUUUAGUUCUACUCACCUCUAACAAUAGCUGGACUGUCUCUGAAAAUCUAACUCUGAGGGCCUCCUUGGUUCCUUGGGUCCGUACCUACACAGGCGGACUCAAAUGAGGUACCGAACAUACUCUAACAUAGCUAUGAAUAUCUCUCCAAAAACCCCCUAAAACAUCAUAAACAUGCUUGGAAAAAUUGGCAAAGAAAAGCUGAACAGAGGCCUUUCGGCGGCAGGUUCGGCGGCCGAAACCCCCCUCCAGAGACGAAAGUCACCCACCUUCGGCGGCACUUUCGGCGGCCGAACCUUGCCUCCAGAGACGAAAGUCUACUUUCGGGGGCAGGGUUUGGCAGUCGAAACUGCUUCCAUAAGGGGUUCGGCGGCCGAAAGUCCACUUUCGGCGGCCGAACCUGAGUUUCCCCAGAAGGCAGAAACUCGGGCAACUUCCUCUCCACAGCCUCCAAAACCCUCACACAACCUAUCAACAUGCAAGCCAACUUUCCAAACAUGCAACUAACAUCAAACAUGCAUAAAGGAGCUUAAAAACUCAACUUAAACUCCAAUAAACAUAUCAAAUCAUCAUAGAACAUAAUCUUUAACCUAAUACCACAAAACCUAGAUCCAUGCAUAACUAACCUUAAAACUCCCAAAAUCUCUUAAAAACAUGCUUAAACAUAAAGGGGAGAGGAGGAUCCAUGCUUACCUCUUGAAGAACGAGAGGAUCAAUGGUCCAAACUUGGAGAUGGGUGGAAAACCAAAUCAAAACUCCAAGUUGCUCAACUUUGCUUAUUUUGCUCCAAAACUCUAAAACCAAGUUUAAAACAUGUAAAAACAUGCAAGAUUUGAAGAAAACUCAUAUGAACAUACCAAGGGGAAAGAGAGCUAACCUUUGGCUCAAAACAGGGGGUGCAACACCCCUGUUUUCGGCCAAGGAUGGCUUAAAUAGGUGGCCAGCCGCCUCACCUUCGGCAGCCGAACGUGCAUGCGAAACCAUGCAACCUUCGGCGGCCGAAAAUGAGCUUCGGCGGCCGAACCUGGGAAAAUUCCCUUGGCCUUUUUCUUUUCCAAAACUCAACUUUCUUAGCUCAAAACAUUAAAACCAUGAUAAUCAUAUGAGAAAACAUGUAAUUUACCCUUCUAGCAUAACCCGUCAUCUUGUGAAAUUCCUAAUUCCACAGAGAACCCGCCCAAAAGGUACGGAUUCCAAUGCCGGAGUCUAGCCGGGUAUUACAAGAACUAUAUUAAACAACUCUACUAAUCUCCCAACUAAUUUUGACCCUAUAAAUCUAGAAUUAUGAGAAAGAAAUAAACUUAUAAGAGCCUAAUAAGCAGAAAUAUAAUUAUAAAAUAAUUUAAUAAAAUAUAUGACCGUAUAAAUGUUUCACAAUACAGACAAUUCACAUUAAGAUUUGCUAAUUAAGAAAACAUAUUUUGAUUUUUUAGGUUAGUUUUGAAGAUAAGAUAGAGAUGAUGUUCUUGAAUUUUUCAAUUUUAAAAAUUUAAAAAUAUUUUAAUGGAUGACCAUUUAAUAAAGUUAUGUUUCAAUUAUUGAUUUGAAUUUAAUUUGCUUAAAAUGAUAAUAUAUAGGAUAAUUAUACCAAAAUUGAAAGUUAAGGGGCUCGAUUGGACCUAAAAAAUUUUAAAGAACUUAAUUUACUUUUGGUUAAUAAUUAAAGGGUUAAAAUUAGCUUUUUGCCUAAAAGAAAUUGGGCAGGUUUAUUUCCUUAGAAUAGGAGCAGGCAUUCAAAGGGGAAUUACAAUUUAUCACUCCAGCAAUUAUGAAUGGGUAGAAGAUUGUAAAAUUUUAGAGCGACAAACAUGUAGAAUGAAUAUGUGAGAUAGAGAAAUGUACUGACAAGGAGUGUAUUUGAAAUGAAUCAUUGAUUUCAAUAGAUUAAGAGUUUUGUUAUGAGCAAAUAGAAAAGAUAUAGUCUAAACUUUAUUUCUUUUAUGAAAGAUAAUAUUUAUUAGUUUAAUUUUCAAUUUGAGAUGAGUUUUUUAGAAUAGAUCCUAUAUCUUUGAUAAAAAAAAAAAAAAAUCCAACCUCUAAUUUUGAUACAAUGAAGGUUGACGUUGAGAAUUAACUCAAAACUAAUCUAAAAAAUGUCUAUAUAAGUACAAUUCUUAGAGGUGCCUUGGAAAUUCUAGAAUGUAGAGAUAUUAAGUAGAAUAGGUUGCACGAUAGGAAACUGUGAAGAGGGCAGAGUGGGUUAUGCAAGAAUAUUAGUAAAAUGAACUUGUUAAGGGCUGUUAUUUGAAGCUGUUAUUCUAAAAGAUGCCUCCAUUCAUAAAUCACAUGUUGAGAGAAUUGAUGACUACUCUCAUAGUGUAGAAACUUUAGACAUCAUGAAUUUCAGUGUAAGAAAAGAUACAAGAGAUAAAUCUAGCAAUUUAAGAAUAAAAAAUAGAUGUAAAUAAGGGUAACAAUGUUGAAGAGGUGGUAAUCGGUGGCAGGGAAUAUAAAUGAAGUAAAAUGAAAGAGGAGAGUGGUGGGAAGUGGGAAAGGAAAAGAGAAGAUAUAUAGUCUCACAAGAGAAAAUUAUUAAUUAUAUAAUAUUAUAACAGAGAGAUUGGAGAGCAUUUUAGUUUUUUUUUUCUUUAUAUAUAUAUAGUUUAUGCAAAUUGAUUCGAAAAGUUUAACGUUUUAAUCUAAAUUUUUUAAUUUUAGUUUAGUUAGUUUAAUUUUUACAUUCUUAUGUAAUUUUAAUUGACUUAUCAAUUUUUAAAUUUUUGGUAUAUCACAUAAUAUAUUAUUAUUAUAUAAAUUAAUGAUUAAAUUAUCAAAAAACCUAACAUUUACAUUAUUUUGUAUUUUAAUUCAAAUGUUUAAAUUUUGAUUUAAUUGAUCCAAUAUUUAUAUUUGAUUGUAAUUUUAAUUAAUUUUAAAAAUCAAAAUAUAAGAAUUCGAAUAUCAAAUGUAAUAUUUUAUUAUCUUUUAAAUAUAAACUAAUUCAAAUAAUAUUAAUUCACAUUUAAUUAUAGUUAAAUUAUAUAUUUUAUUUUAAAGUUAAUAAUAAUUUAAUAAUUAAAUAGGCUGUCUAUAUGGAUAAAUUUUAUUUUGCAUUCAUAAUUAUGAAGAAUUUAUAAUAGAUAUAUUAUUUUUAAUUAUUUUAUAUAUAUUGUUAUUUAAAUUAAAUAAUAUAUUUAUUUAAAAUUUAAACUUUUAAAUUAAAAUGUGAUGAUAUAAAUAUUAGAUUUUUUUAAUUAAUUAAUCAAUUAAAAAAUUAUAAUAAUACACGUGCCGAUUAAAUAAUUAAAUUUAAAAAUUUACAGAUGGAAUAAAAUUACAUUAAAAAUUGUAAAAAUUGAGUUAAUUAAAUUAAAAUUAAAAUAUAAAUACCUGUAAAUGUUAAAUAUUUUUAAGUCAAUUAACCUAUAAUUUAUUUUAUACAUGUCUAUAAAUAAUUAAGAAUCUAUUUAUUAUUUAAAUUGUCAAAACUACAUUUGCAUAGAUUUAAUAAUUAUAUAGUUAUUUUAUUUUAUUAUUAUUUAAAAUAUUUAAUUUGAUUAGUUAGUUAUAUUAUUUUCUAUUUAAAUUAAAUUUAAAAUUUCUUAUAAUCUAAUAUAAAAAACUAACUAAAAUUUAAAACUUCCAUUUAAAAGAUCAUCAAAAGUAUGAAUAUUUUUAAUAGUGAAUAUUUGAGUUUGUCGCUAAAAUUUAUAUAUUAUAAAUUUACAUUAAUAUUAUUAAUAAUAAAAUAAAUAACAAAUAAAAUUUAAAAUGCAAAAUAUAUUUAGUGAAUUUAACAUUUCAAAAUUUUAUUAUUUUGCAAUAAUUUAUAUUAAUUUUUUAUGAUAUUAAUUAAAUUUGUAAUAUUAUUCAAAUAAAAUGUUAAAAUAAAAAUGUGCUAAACAGUUCUCAUGAGAGUUAGAGUUAAGCUUUGUAAAAAAAUUAAUUUUUAUUAGACUAAAAUAAAGUAAUUAAUAAUAAAAAAAUUAUAUAAAGUUAGUCAUUUUAAAUUUCUAAUUAUAUUAGAGUAAAAUUAAACAAUAAACUUUUUUUUCUCAUCUAUAUUAUACACAAUUAGACUAUAAUAAUAUUUUAAAAAAUGUAUAUUGCUAAUUAUUUAUUAAAUAAGGAAUAUUGUUUAAUAAAAUAAAAAUCAAUAUUCUACAAUUAUAUUAAUAAAUUUUAUUUAAAAAAAUAAAAUUAACAAAAUUAAUUAAUUUUUAACUAAAUUUAAUUAAAUAUAAAGUAAUGUUAUAAUAAUUUAAUAUUAUUAUUAAAUUUGGAUCAGGCCUAACUCACUCCAAAAGCUAGCUCAAGAGGGAGGAUUGUCUAUGACCCUUAUAAGGGGCACAUUAUCCUUUUCCACAACCGAUGUGGGAUUCUACAACCGAUGUGGGAUUCUACAACCGAUGUGGGAUUCAACACACCCCUCUCACGCCCAGAAUUUUACUGGUGCGUGACACAUUUAUAGGAGGCCCAAUAUCGAAUGGGGAGGCUCUGAUACCAUAUUAAAUUUGAAUCAGGCCUAACUCACCCCAAAAGGUAGCUCAAGGGAAAGAAUUGCCUAUUAUUCAUAUAAGGGGCACAUUACCCCUUUCCACAAUUGACGUGGGAUUCAACAAUUAUAAUAAUAUAAAAGAAAAUUUAUUUAGUUAUUCAAAAUGAAUUUAAUACAAUAUUGUAUACAAAAUUAAUAUAAAAAUUUAUUUAGUUAUUCAAAAUGAAUUUAAUACAAUAUUGUAUACAAAAUUAAUAUAUAUACAAUAUUAACGUACACAAUAUCUGGAAAUAUGAAGUUAAAAAAAAUUAUGAAAAAUAAAUUUAAAUUUUUUUAAAAUUUUAGGCUAAUUAAACUAUAUAAUUUUAUUAAAGGCUAAAUAGAUUCUAACUUAAUAUUAUUUUUAUAAUUUAAAACAUUAAAAAAUUUUAUAUUUUAAUUAUUAUAAAAUUUUUUAAAAAUAUAUAAAUAUAAUAAAUAAUUUUUAUAAUUAUAAAAAUAAAUUUUUAUUAUAUAAAAAUUAUUUUUAUUAUUAAAAAAUAAUAUUAUAUUAUUAAAAAAAUUAUAUUACGUUAGAUUAUGACUUAUUUGAUUCUUAGCAAUAAUAUAUAGACUUAAUUGAUUCAAAAUUUUGAAUUAAGAUUAUUUGACUCUUAAAAAAAGGUAGAGGCUUUACCAGCUGGCAGAGAGCCUUCUUUUUCCGAUUCUCUAUUUCCUUUCCUCAUUCCCAAUCUCCGAUCCAUCCCUAAAAACAACUGACGAGAGAUCGAUGAUGAUGAAGAUGCCUUGGAGGAGGAAGAGCAGGAGCUUCCAUCUUCAGCUACAAGGGGCAAUUGGUACCAUUCAAUCUCCAUUCCUAUUCUUAUUUACCAAUUAUUGCCAUUCUUCUACUUCCACACUUCAAGAUGCACGCUUCUUGACAAAUAAUUUCAAAUCUGCUUCUUUUACCCACCUUGAUGAUGCCAUUGCUUCCUUCAAUCAUGUAAUUCAUAAGCAUCCUCUGCCUUCUAGGAUUCCAUUUAAUAGAUUCUUAUCUGCCCUUGUGAAAAUGAAACAAUAUCACACUGUCCUUUCCAUGUCCAAAACAAUUGAAUUGCUAGGAAUCACUCACGAUGUUUAUUCUCUUAACAUCUUAAUUAAUUGCUUCUGCCGUUUACAUCUUGUGGAUUUUGGCUUCUCUGUUUUCGGAAAGAUGUUCAAAUUCGGAUUGGAGCCUACCACUGUGACAUUUACUACCUUAAUUAAUGGGCUUUGUAUAGAGAGUAAAAUGGACAAAGCAGUGGAAUUUUUCGAUGAUAUGCUUGCACGUGGUUAUCAACCUAAUGUUUAUACUUUCAAUGUGAUAGUAAAGGGAUUGUGUAAAUUUGGGAAAACAAAUCUGGCUAUUGAGCUACUAAAGGAAAUGGCUGAUAGAGGUUGUGAGCCAGAUGUGACAUACAAUGCAAUCAUUGACACACUUUGCAAAGAUGAGCUAGUUGGUGAGGCUUUAGAGCUCUUCUCUCAAAUGAGGAAUAAGGGCAUUUCACCUAAUGUCAUCACUUACACUAGUUUAAUUCAUGGUGCUUGCAAAUUAGGCCAAAAGAACCAAGCUUUGGCCUUGAUGAAUGAAAUGGUGGAGCAGAACAUAUUACCAAAUGUUUAUACCUUCAGUGUAUUGAUUGAUGCUCUUUGUAAGGAUGGAAUGGUUUCAGAGGCUCAAAAUACAUUCAAUGUAAUGAUUCAAAGAGGUGUAGAGCCUGAUGUGGUCACCUACAAUUCCUUAAUUGAUGGUCUUUGCAUUUCAGACCAAUUCCAGGAAGCUUUGGCCUUGUUGAAAGAAAUGGUGGGGAGGAACAUAUCCCCUGAUGUUUUUACCUUCAAUAUAUUGAUCGACACUCUUUGUAAGAAAGGACUGGUUUCAAAUGCACAGAAUAUAAUCAAGAUAAUGAUUCAAAGAGGUGUGGAACCUGAUGUUGUCAAUUAUAAUUCGUUGAUGGAUGGAUAUUGUCUGCGCAAGCAAAUUGAUAAGGCUAGAAAGCUAUUUGAUCUGAUGGUGACAAAUGAAAUAGCUAACAUUUUUAGUUACAACAUUUUGAUCAAUGGAUAUUGUAAGUGCAAAAUGAUAGAUGAUGCAAAGGAUAUUUUUGUUGAAAUGUCUCAUAAAGGUUUAGUUCCUGGUGUUGUUACUUAUUCUACUCUUAUAGAGGGUAUGUUUCAAGCAGGGAGGCCCCAAACUGCACAGGAGCUCUUUAAGAAUAUGUGCUCUCACGGUCAACAGCCAAAUAUAGUAACCUUCUCAAUUAUGAUUAAUGGCUUGUGUAGUCAGGGGAAUCUCGAUGAAGCACUCACCCUAUUGAAAAAAAUGGAGGAAAGUCAGUUAAAGCCUAAUCUUGUGACCUAUUGCAUUCUGAUCAAUGGUAUGUGCAAAGCUGGCAAGAUUAAUGAUGCCAAGGAACUGUUUUCUAGUCUUUUUGAAAAUGAUUUACAACCUAAUGUUCAUAAAUAUAGUGCAAUUAUGAAAGGACUCUGCCGAGAAGGAUUAAUAGUCGAAGCAUAUAAGAUUUUUAGAGACAUGGAAAAGGGAGGAUGUUUACCGAAUAGUUGUUGUUAUAAUAUCAUCAUUCAAGGGUUUCUCAAGCAUGAGGAUUUACCAAAAGCAUCAGAACUAAUCAAUGAAAUGGUUGACAAGGGAUUCUCUGCCGAUGCUACUACCACCGAAUUGGUAGUACGUUUAUUGUGCAAUGAUGAUCUCAUUCUGAGGCUUUUAAAGGUGCGCAAUGAGGGAUCAGCAAACUAAACUUGUUAUAUCUUGACCGAAUGUGUGUCUUGGAGCGCAACUUGGUAAUUACCUUUUUCAAAUGUAAUAGAUAUGUAAUUUAACUAACUUCUUCAAAUAUCAUUUUUAAUUUCAAUCAGCUGUGAUUCUCUUCCACAAAAUGAUAAUUUCUAACACUGCAAAUGACCUGUGGUGGAAACCAUGAUAUGUGUGUGCCUUUCGCUUGAAUUCAGACAUGGACUUGAUCUCUUUGAUAUAAGAUUGUUGAUGAAUGGAGGUCAUGGAUUUCUAAUGAUCAAGUUGCUGGUAAACCCACCAUCUCCUUUACAAUUUUUUUUGGUUGCUACUACAGCCUUAACUCGAGAGCUCAGUCCUAAAAUUGAGUUGAGAACUAAAACUAAUUGGUUCCAUACUACAAUGCUUAAGAAUCUUUAUCUAUUUUUAUUUUUGUGCUCAAUGACCUUUUAAAAUGCUAUCAUUUCUCUUGUAGGUACUUGCAACGAUAUGAUUACAACUUCACCUUUCUAACAAUAAAGGUAUAAGCAAUUCAUUUUUGCUUAGUUAUUGUAAUUUUUAAUAAUAAUGAAACUAAUGAUUAUAAACCAGUGUGCUUUAAUUGAGAAUUGAUUUAACAAUUAGACUACACUAUAAAUGCAGGGUGCAGGAUAGACAGUCCCAGAGUACAAGGUAAGAGAAUCACCAGACUUCUAUAGCUGUUGGUUGGAUGAAAUGUCACUAAAAUUACACACAACAGAAAAUGUUAUGGGAAUUGAGGGAAAAGCAAAAGAAGAGGAUGAAAAUCAGACAUAUGCAGCCACUAAGACAAGCAACUGCAAUUGGUCCUACUAGCGAUUGGAAUGCUAGUUUAGCUUCAGUUAUUUAACAGGACUUUUUGUCCAAAUUUAUUUAUGAACAAGUUCAUAAAAGGCAGGUUAGCUCUAUAUAUAACACAGGUAUAAUCAAAGAAGGUGGCAGGAAAAAAGGCAGGAAAAAUGUCAAUGCAAAGAAACUUCAUCUGAUUAAAUGGAAUACUCUUUCGUUGCCUAAAAAGAAAGGUGGCUUAGGCAUGAAAGAGAUCUCUCUUCAAAUUCAAGCUCUUUUGUUCAAAUGGCUUUGCAGAUUUGAAAAUCAUAGGGGUUCACUAAGUUCAACUUCUUCUAUCCAAAUAUUCUUUCAAUUUGGAGAAGGGUAUCUCUCUUGCUCCAGGAAAUUGCAUUUCUUCCCUCCAGAAAGACAUUCCAGCUAAUUAAAUUAUUAAUAAGUAAAAAAAUUAAAUUAUUAAUAAAUCUUUAUUUUUAUUAAAAUUAACUGUUUAAUCUCUAUUUCUAAAUCGCUCAAUUAAAACAUUUUGAAUUUUAUAAAGUCAAACUCUUCAAUAUUUUUAUCGAAUAAAAUAUUAGUAAAUAUAUUUUUAAUUUUAAUUAGAAAAAUUAAAUUAUAUAUAUAAAAUUAAAAAAUAAAAAAAAAAUAUUUAAUCAAAUAACAUAGAAAUAAAAAAAAUUAAACAGUCCAUUUUAAUAAAAUAUAAAAAUCAAAUAAUAAUCCGCUCUUUUAUAGUUUAAAGUAAUUUUUUGGAUACUUCAUAGCAAAUUCUCAAUAAUUUUACCAAUUAUAUCUACCAUUUAUAUACGUCUUUUUUCAAGUUUUAUUUUUUUUUCUAUUCAUGCAUUGCAUUGAUUUUUAUUUCUUAUGAGAAUUGCUGGCAAAAUAAUAUUGUAUUGUAGGAUGCUUUAUGAACGGUAGAUGUUAAAAAUAUAAAAUAAAAACUAGUUUAUUAAUUGUUGAUAAGCCUAUGUACCAAUAAGCAAAUUAAUUUCUUAAUUCACUUUCUACACGCUUGCACUCAUAAAUAUUGGGGUGAGCAGUCGAUCGAAUCGAAUUAAUUUAAAAAUUCGGUUCAGUUUUUUAUUUAUUUUGAUUCGGUUCGAUUUUUAAUUUUAGAAAUUUCAGUUGUUUCGGUUCAGUUCGAUUUUGAUCAGAAAAAAAUCGAAAAAACUGAACCGAAUCGAUUAGUGAUAAUAAUAUAUUUUUUUCAAUAAUAUAAAAAAAUUAAAUCAUAUUAAGAUUAAAAUAUUUUAAUUAAAUUUUAAAAUACUAAAAAUAAAGUGAAAAAAAUAAAAAAUUUAUUAAAAAUCAAAACCGAUUAAAUCGAACUGAAUCAAAUCGAUUUAAUUCGUUUAGUUUCUGACUAAAAUAAAUUCGGUUUGAUUUUUAUAAAAACUAAAAAUUUCAAUUUUCAAUUUAUUCGAUUCAGUUCAAUUUUAAACCGAACUGACCGAAUGCUCAUCUCUACAUAUAUGUAUACUUGCUAUUCGUUUUACACUAAACCCUUGAAAAAAAUUAAUAUAAAAAUAUACUCACAAAUUUAGUCUAGUGGUAAUUACAUCUAAGUAAAUAUGAUGAGUGAUGUCAGAUCCUACUUUCUCAAUCUUUAAUUCUUAUUUCAAAAAAAAUUAAUAUAGAAAUUAAGACUUUAUUUAUUUUAUAAAAAAUAUUUUAUAAAAAUAUUACUCUAUAAGAAAUAUAGUUUAAUAAUAAAAAAAUUAUUAAUUUAAGGUGCUGACUUCAUAUUUUUUAUUUUUUAUUUUUUCAAAAAUUAAUUAUAUAAAAAUAAGUAUAAAUUUUUAUAUAAUGGUAAGAAAUAAUAUAAUUUUUUUUAAAAUAUGAUAUUUAAUAGUAAAAUAAUAGUAUAAAUAAUUUUAUAAAUGACUAUAUAUAAAAAUAUUAAUAAAUUAUCUUUACACAGUAUAUAAUGUUAUAAUAAAAAAUUAUUAUUCGAUAAUUGUCAUAUAAAAAAUUUAUUAGUUAAUUUUUUAAUUUUAAAAAAUACAUUAAAAGUUUAUGAAAUUUUAAAAAGUCUACCGAUGAGUCCUUACGUUAAUUUUAGCCGCUAAGUAUUAUAAAAAUAAAAAGUACUAUUUAAUCUUUAUAAUAUAAGAAAACUCACAAAUUAAUUUAUUGAUUUUGAAAAAUAUAUUAAGAUAUUUCUAAUUUUAAAAAAUUCACUCAUUAAUCUCUUCAUUAAUUUUAGUUGUUUAGUUUUAUAAAAAAAAAAUUUAAUGUUUUAAUAUGAAAGAACUAAUUAGUAAAUAUUUUUAUAAAAUUGAGAGAUCAACUAAUAAAUUUUCUCUUACUACAUAAAUUAAAUAGUAAAAUAUUUAAUAGGUGAAAUUAAUAAAAUAAUUAAUUAAUAUAUUUUUAGUAUUUUAUGGAUGCUUUAAUGUUUUUUUUUUAAAAUAAAGUGACUAACUAAUUUAUUCUUCUAUAUCAUAAAGAUUAAAUAAUAAAUUUUACUUAUAAAAAGAUUUAAAAUAUCUUCAAUAUGAAUGUACUAAUUAAUAGGUAUUUUUAUAAAAUUAAAAAAUUAAUUAAUAAAUUUUUAAUAUUACAGAAAUUAAAUAAUAAAAUAUUUAAUAAUUAAAAUUAAUAAAAUGACUAAUUAAUAUAUUUUUUAAAAUUUAAAGGAUUUUUUAUUUUAUUUUUUAAAAUUAAAAAUCAAUUAAAAAUUUUUUAUAUUACAAUAAUUAAAUAAUAAAUUUUCCUUAUGAUAAUAAAAUAAAAAUAUAUUUUAUAAAUUAAUUAAUUAAAUAUUUAUUUAAUAAUAUGAAUUUAACUGAUGAGAUAAAAUUUUAAAAUUUUUAACGUAAUUUAAUAAAAAUUAUUAAAAAAAGGAAGCGCAAUGAUAACAAAUAUAUUUUUAAUUUUUUUUUUGUUAAUGAUACAUAUAUAACUAUUAAUAAUAUAAGUUAUUAAAAUAAAAAUAAAUAUUUUUUUUAAAUUUCAUAUCAAAAAAAAUAUCACCUAAAACUACUAUAAAUUAAUAAGUAAUAUAAUUUAUAAACCAUAUAAAUUUACUAUAAGUACAAAUUGAACUUCUCAUUUUUACUGAAAAUAUUAUAUAUUUAAUUAUUAUUAAUAUUUAAUUAUUUUUAAUUAUUAUUAUAUUUUAAAUUUAUUAUACAAGAAAGUAAUAAUUCUUUAUUUAAAUUAUAACAACAACUUUUAUUGUUAUUAAAAUUUUUUAUCAUCAUAUUAAUUAUUAUUAAAAAAAUAAAUUUAUUGUCAUUAUUAUCGAUUUAAUAAUUAAUUAUAGUGUGUCGUAAUUUUUAAUGAUAAAACUUUUCAUGACAACUUAACGACCAAAUAAAAUGAUUGUUAAUUAUUUUUAAUAAUUAAUUUUUAAUAUUUAAUGAUAAUUUUAAUGAUAAAACUUUUAAAUUAUAAGUAAAAUAUAUGAAAGUACUUAACUCACUCAAGAAAAUUUUAUCUAUAUUAUACAUGUAUAUCAUAAAAUUAGAAGUAAUAUUUGCUAAUUAAUGAUAAACUAUUAUAUGUAAUGUCAUGUCAUUUCAUAUUUUUUAACGAUAUGUAUUUGUAGGAUUCUAAACUUUAAAAAAGUGCCAUAAUAUAUUUGAAUUAUUUAUAAGGUUUCAUGACAUACCUGAAUUAUUUAUAAGUGAAAUUAAAAUAGUUUUACAAUUUUAAUAUAACAUGAAGCUUUUACGGUAAGAAGAUUUUUUUUUAUUAUUGUAAAAAAUAUAUAGUGAGUUUCAAAUUCAAAAUUUAUGCAUUGUGUAUAAUUUUAUUAUUAUUAAGUAAUUAUUAAAGGUGAAAUUAGAUAAUAAUUUGAUUUUUGUUGUAACGAUCUAAUAAUCAGACCGUUAUUGGUACUAGGGUUCAAAUCGACUUAAGGUCGUCAGGAUUUGUAUCAAGUCUACUAUACAUUCUGCUAUAUCUAAUAAAAUUUCAUAUAUGAUCACAAGAUUUAACAAAAUAUAGACAUUUCAUGAACCAAGACUCGACUUGUAUAUGUAUUAAAAUUGAAAUCAUAAAAUUCAUACUAAAACUCUCAUCAAAUACUUCAGUAUAGUCAACAAAACAUGACUCAAACUCAGUUUAAAUAUAACUCAUAAUUAAAAUUUUUAUAUAAGGAUCAUGCAAAUAAGGAUUUACAAAUACAAAUACUAGGGCAAAACACAAUUCUAAAUCAUCAAAUAAUAUAUGUCCACAUCUAUACUAUUAUAAUAGACUAUACCAGUAAUUCAGUCGUUAUUUAUUUCAUCAUUUUAAUUACGUUAUUUUCUUCUUUAAUCUUUCUUUUUAAAUCAAUUUAUCCAAUAAUAAUUUUUUUAAACUUUUCUUUUAUCCUACCUAUCAUCUAAUUUAAAUGAAGUUAAAGUAUUUAUAGAUACAUUUGUUUACCCUAUCGGCAUAUUUUUUUAAAUUAAGUAAAAGACAAUCAGUUUUGAUUAAUGAAUUCAAUGUCUAUUUGUAUCCAUUGAAUUUUACAAAUGAAUUUUAUAUUUAUUCAGAUAUAUGUUUGUUUAAUUUUAUAAAUAUAUUAUAUAUCUAUUUAUAAAUUAAAUUGUGUUUAUUUAAUUUUAUAGAUGUAUCACUCGGUUUGCGAAUACAUUUAUGUCUAAUGCUAAAUAUGUAAAAAAAAAUCAAUAUAACAAUUCUAUAUUUAAUCUUUAUGUUAAUUUACAUUUCAAUUAAAUAUAUUUAUUUUUUAAUUUCAAUUUAAUACUUAAUGAGUUACAAAACUCACUAUUUUUUUAUAUUAAAUUCCAUUUUAUUAUGAUUUUGAUAUAAAUAAUUAAUUUUUACUUAAUUUGAAGCGAAAAUGAAAAAAAACAAAAAAUACUGUUUUAAAGCUUUUUUUUAUUAUAAGGUACAACCUUAUCUAAAAUUGUGACCCAACUUGGAUGGCUAUAUUGCGGUCUUUCUGGUUGCCAGUAAUAAAGAGUUCAAAACUAUUUUUAAAUAGAUGCAAAUACAAUCAUAUUAAGAUUAAGAUAAGAGUUAUCUAGUAGAUUUAUUUUAUUUUUUCUUUUAAACGGCGAAUAAUUAUUCUUUUAUUUAGGAAAAUCCUAUAUAAAUGCCACUUUAGAAGUAGAUCUCUCAUCUCUUCUCCUCUUGCCCACACCCUCUUUUCAGUUUCUCUUUGGCCGAGCCUCCUUCCCCUUUUCUUUUAUUUUCUGCAAUUUUAUUAUAACCUUUAUAGGCUAAACUCUUUUUUUAGUUGAAGGUUAAUCAAGUUAAUAUUUAAUUAAGUCGUAAGAUUUAGUUCUUAUUUCUAUUCAUCUGAAUUUCUUUUUUCAAUUAAUUUCUAUUUUCGAGUAAUACCAUCUCCAUUACUGUUCUUUAGAAAUUUAAAAGGUUUAUUAAAUCUCUUAGAAAGAAAACAUAUUGCUAAUUAACUCCAAGUAAAUAUGAAAUUAUUUUAUUGUAUUAAUAUAAAUAAUAAUUAGCAUAUUUCUUUAUAUUAAGAAAUUAAUUAAUUUGGUUUAAAUAAUUCAUUUGCUAUUAUCGAUCAAGUUUGAGUUCUUCUCUUCUUAAAACUGUUAAUUAAUUAAAUUUACACGCUUAUGAAAUUAUUAAUUAACUAAAAAAUUAAUUUAAAUGCUAUACAGAUUAAUUUAAUCUUAAGAAAUAAUAGGUGAAAUUUGCUUAUUUAAACACUAUAAUAAAAUAAUAAACAAUCGAGUGAAUAUCUUUUUAAUUAAUGAUGGGUUGCAAAUUUAUUAAUUUUAAUUACUUUCAACUGAAUUUUAAUUUGAUUAUUUAUUUUAUCAUUUUAAUUAUAAUAUUUUAUUUCUUCUUUAGUUUAUUUUUAAAAUCAACUUCUAAUUUUAUUAUUAUCUCUUUUAUUUCAAAUAGUUCUUUUUUUCUCAAUUUUCAUAAAUAUUAAACAAUUUUAAAAUAUAUGUGAAAUCAAUACUUAUUUAACUCCAAAAUUUUUUAAAUUAAAAAAAUUAAUUUUAAAUUGAUAGAUUUGACGAUUGUAAAUAAAUUUUUAAUUUUAAUUUCUAUUCCAUUUAUAUUCAUUUAAAUUAAUCAAUAAAUUUUAAAUUUUAUAAAUUCACCCUCUAAUUUAAACUUUAAUAUUUUUAAACUUAAACUUAUUAUUAAAAUUUUAUCCCAAUCUUUUCAAUUGUAAUUAAAUUUAUUUAUAAAUUAAUUUUUAAUUAAAAACACAUAAAAAAUAAAUAAUGAAAAACUGGAGAAACCUCUAUUUUAAUCAAUUUUUUUUAAUUAGUUAAAUUUUCUUGUGAAAUACUAAUUUUUUUCGUGGUGAAAUUGUUAAUGGUUUUUUAAUUUAAUAGAAAUAUCAAGUAGGUUAAAAAAAUUAUGAAAAUAAAUUUAAUUAAAUCUCUUUUAUUAAGAGUCAAAUAUAUUCAAUUUAAAAUUUUUAAAAUUUUAAGUCAAUUAAAUUAUAUCAUUUUAUUAAGGGCUAAAUAGAUUUUAAUUUAAUAUUAUUUUUUAAUAAUAAAAUAUUAUUUUUAUAAUUUAAAAUAUUAAAAAUUUAAUAUUUAAUUAUUAUAAAAAAUUUUAAAAUAUAUAAACAUAAUAAAUAAUUUCUAAAAUUAUAAAAAAAUUUAUCAUAUAAAAAAUAUUUUUAUUAUUAAAAAUAAUAUUAUCUUAAAUUAUAAUUUAUUUGACUUUUGAGUAAUAGUAUAUAAACUUAAUUGAUUCAAAAUUUUGAAUUAAGAUUAUUUGACUGUAAAGACUUAAUUGGAUUUAUACUUAACAAAUUAUUAUUAUAAAAUAAUAAAUUUAAUUUGUUAUUAAAUAAUAUUUUUAUAUGAAAAAUUAAUUAAAAAAAUUACAAAAUGUGGUGCAUAUAAACAAUUAGUAAUGCAUUUCCUUUUGUUAUCCUUACCACUUUACCAGCUGGCACAGAGCCUUCCUUUUCCGAUUCUCUAUUUCCUUUCCUCAUUCCCAAUCUCCGAUCCAUCCCUAAAAGCAACUGACGAGAGAUCGAUGAUGAUGAAGAUGCCUUGGGAGGAGGAAGAGCAGGAGCUUCCAUCUUCAGCUACAAGGGGCAAUUGGUACCAUUCAAUCUCCAUUCCUAUUCUUAUUUACCAAUUAUUGCCAUUCUUCUACUUCCACACUUGAAGAUGCACGCUUCUUCACAAAUAACUUCAAAUCUGCUUCUUUUACCCGCCUUCAUGAUGCCAUUACUUCCUUUAAUCAUGUAAUUCAUAUGAAUCCUCUGCCUUCUAGGGUUCAUUUUAAUAGAUUCUUAUCUGCCCUCCUGAAAAUGAAUCAAUAUCACACUGUCUUUUCCAUGUCCAAAACAAUUGAAUUGCUAGGAAUCUCACACGAUGUUUAUUCUCUUAGCAUCUUAAUUAAUUGCUUCUGCCACUUACACCUUGUGGAUUUUGGCUUCUCUGUUUUUGGUAAGAUGCUCAAAUUCGGAUUGGAGCCUGACGUUGUGACAUUUACUACCUUAAUUAAUGGGCUUUGUAUAGAGAAUAAAAUGGACAAAGCAG